rnacentral:rRNA from 1 species
AACGAACGCUGGCGGCAGGCUUAACACAUGCAAGUCGAGCGCCCCGCAAGGGGAGCGGCAGACGGGUGAGUAACGCGUGGGAAUCCACCCAUCUCUACGGAAUAACGCAUGGAAACGUGUGCUAAUACCGUAUACGUCCUUCGGGAGUAAGAUUUAUCGGAGAUGGAUGAGCCCGCGUUGGAUUGGCUAGUUGGUGGGAUAAAGGCCUACCAAGGCGACGAUCCAUAGCUGGUCUGAGAGGAUGAUCAGCCACGCUGGGACUGAGACACGGCCCAUACUCCUACGGGAGGCAGCAGGAGGGAAUAUUGGACAAUGGGCGAAAGCCUGGUCCAGCCAUGCCGCGUGAGGGAUGAAGGCCCUAGAGUUGUAAAGCUCUUUCACCGGUGAAGAUAAUGACGGUAACCGGAGAAGAAGCCCCGGCUAACUUCGUGCCAGCCGCCGCGGUAAUAC